rnacentral:tRNA from 1 species
GGUAGUGUGGCCGAGAACUAGCUGGCGAGUUGUAGCCCCGCCGAGGGGUAGCAAAGGCACCCCCACUAUCA